UUUUAUGGAGAGUUUGAUCCUGGCUCAGGAUGAACGCUGGGGGCAUGCUUAACACAUGCAAGUCGAACGGGUUUGACGGUGGUUGUUUCAAAUCUUCGAUUUGAAUAACCCCCUUCUCAUCAGUGGCGGACGGGUGCGUAACGCGUAAGAACCUACCCUUAGGUGGAAGAUAACCAUUGGAAACGGUGGCUAAUACUCCAUACGCUGAGGAGUGAAAGGGAAAGACAACCUUUCCCGCCUAGGGAUGGGCUUGCGUCUGAUUAGCUUGUUGGUGGGGUAAAGGCCCACCAAGGCCACGAUCAGUAGCUGGUCUGAGAGGAUGAUCAGCCACACUGGGACUGAGACACGGCCCAGACUCCUACGGGAGGCAGCAGUGAGGAAUUUUCCGCAAUGGGCGAAAGCCUGACGGAGCAAUGCCGCGUGGAGGAAGACAGCCUAUGGGUCGUAAACUCCUUUUCUUAGAGAAGAAGCUCUGACGGUAUCUAAGGAAUAAGCAUCGGCUAACUCCGUGCCAGCAGCCGCGGUAAUACGGGGGAUGCAAGCGUUAUCCGGAAUGAUUGGGCGUAAAGGGUCCGUAGGUGGUCGAUAAAGUCUACCGUUCAAUACCAGGGCUUAACCCUGGGGCAGCGGUGGAAACUCAUCGGCUUGAGUACGGUAGAGGCAGAGGGAAUUCCCGGCGUAGCGGUGAAAUGCGUAGAUUUCGGGAAGAACACCAAUGGCGAAGGCACUCUGCUGGGCCGAAACUGACACUGAGGGACGAGAGCUAGGGGAGCGAAUGGGAUUAGAUACCCCAGUAGUCCUAGCCGUAAACUCUGGACACUAGGUGCUGGCCGGCUCACCCCGGUCAGUGCCGUAGCUAACGCGUGAAGUGUCCCGCCUGGGGAGUAUGCUCGCAAGAGUGAAACUCAAAGGAAUUGACGGGGGCCCGCACAAGCGGUGGAGCAUGUGGUUUAAUUCGAUGCAACGCGAAGAACCUUACCAGGGCUUGACAUGCCCACGAGCCGUAACCGUGGCCCUCUCUUGAAAGAUUGAGGGGCCCCCUGUGUCCCCCUAGGGGGGAAAGGUGGCAGGGUGGUAUGCACAGGUGGUGCAUGGCUGUCGUCAGCUCGUGUCGUGAGACGUCGGGUUCAGUCCCGUAACGAGCGCAACCCUUGUCAUACAGUUGUUUCAAAUCGAAACCAAACUGUUGAGACUGCCGGUGACAAGCCGGAGGAAGGUGAGGAUGACGUCAAGUCAGCAUGCCCCUUACGCCCUGGGCGACUCACGUGCUACAAUGGCCGGGACAAAGAGUUGCUACCCCGCGAGGGGACGCUAACCUCAUAAACCCGGUCUCAGUUCGGAUUGCAGGCUGCAACUCGCCUGCAUGAAGGCGGAAUCGCUAGUAAUCGCCGGUCAGCCACACGGCGGUGAAUACGUUCCCGGGCCUUGUACACACCGCCCGUCACAUCCCGGAAUUCAGCUGGGCCCCAAGUCAUGGUGAACAGAAGCUAUGCCCAAGGCCAAGCCCGAGACCGGGAUGAAGUCGUAACAAGGUAGCCGUUCUGGAAGGAGCGGCUGGAUCACCUCCUUA
rnacentral:rRNA from 1 species